rnacentral:rRNA from 1 species
GACGAACGCUGGCGGCGUGCCUAAUACAUGCAAGUCGAGCGAGCUUGCCUAGAUGAAUUAGGUGCUUGCACCAGAUGAAACUAGAUACAAGCGAGCGGCGGACGGGUGAGUAACACGUGGGUAACCUGCCCAAGAGACUGGGAUAACACCUGGAAACAGAUGCUAAUACCGGAUAACAACACUAGACGCAUGUCUAGAGUUUAAAAGAUGGUUCUGCUAUCACUCUUGGAUGGACCUGCGGUGCAUUAGCUAGUUGGUAAGGCAACGGCUUACCAAGGCAAUGAUGCAUAGCCGAGUUGAGAGACUGAUCGGCCACAUUGGGACUGAGACACGGCCCAAACUCCUACGGGAGGCAGCAGUAGGGAAUCCUCCACAAUGGACGCAAGUCUGAUGGAGCAACGCCGCGUGAGUGAAGAAGGGUUUCGGCUCGUAAAGCUCUGUUGGUAGUGAAGAAAGAUAGAGGUAGUAACUGGCCUUUAUUUGACGGUAAUUACUUAGAAAGUCACGGCUAACUACGUG